CUACGCUACCAUGUAACGUUAGCGCCUCGUUUUUUAAUCCCACCUUACAGUAGACCAUUUUCACUUCACAUUGAGCGCCCGGUCUACGUGCUAAAUGUCAUUUGGAGGCUGGAACGGCGCACAUGCAUCAGCCUCGCUCACCGGGAUUAACGCUCCCCGUAUCCUAUUAUAUCAGACUCUCUGUCAUCAUCCGCAAAUUGCUGCCUGUGCUUCAGAAAAUGACCAAAUUCAACGCAGGCCUUCAGCCGCGUGCGACUGCGAUGCCCCCGCCACACUUCACCGCACACACAUCCCACUGUUGCGUUAGGCAUCUGUUAACGGGCAGAAUUUGUCCUUGGUUUCCUGUGAUUUAUUCUCCCGGCAUCAGUUACCGCGAUACUGUUGUAAAGGUCAUCCAUGGCUCCAGCUGCAUCAUCCAUGAAACACAGUCACUGGCCCGGUAGCGUAUUGAACCGAGCCUGGCCCGAGGCUGGUUAACUGGAGCCCAUGGGUUUAAAAAAAAAAAAAAAAAAAGAGGUGGUUUUACUGUUAUUUCACUUAAAGUAGGCUACUGUACGAGCAUUUAUGAAAGACUAUAGAUAUCAGAAUGAAAAUGCAACAUACUGCCUGUUCUUUAAGUUCCCUCAAACCUCUAUUAAGAGUGAUUUAUGUUAUUAAUGUGUUAAGAGCCGCAACUAGUUUCAUUAUCAUUGUUGGUUAUUUUUUUAAUUAAUGAUUUAGACUAUAAAAUAAUCAGGGAUUAUAGUCAAGUGGUCAUCACAAGCCUCCUGGCUCAAAAGUGGCAUCUCCAAACAACUCGUUUUGUCCAACCAACAGCCCAAACCCCAACAUUUUCUAUUUAUAACAAGAGAGAAGUAGCAAAUCCACACAUUAGAGACACAUGAAUCAGAGAAUAUUUGACGUUUUCGCCUAAGAAAUGUUGAAAUGAUUAAGCAAUCAUCAAAAUUUUCUAUCAGAGUACUAAUUGAUAAUUUCCUCUCUAAAGAUGAUGGAGGUUUUUGGCCAGAGAAGCAAUUGAGAACACCGUUUAACUUACAACUGAUUAAUUACCAAACAAGCAACGACAAGCACUUGCAGUGUAUGUCAUUACACCUCCAUGGAAAGACUGUGACUGGAGGUGAAAAUGAAUUUAAUAUGUGUCAUUGUUUGCCGAGGGCUGCGUCUGCAAAGCUUUACACAAACUGCAACACAACCCUAGACUGAUAUUCCACUGUUGCUACUGGGGUUAAGUAAAUAUUGCUUUGUGAUUGUGUGCAUUGAUGCAUUUGUAGGUCAUGUGCAGGUCCAGUCCAACUACCCAUCGCGUGAACUCGCUGAAGGGUCAUUACUGCCCAGGUCCAUGCCAGGUUGAGCAAGAAAUGCUUCUAAGCAAAACAAAAUGAGUCAUGCGUAAAGUUUGCAUAGGCUUCAUUAGGCAUUCAGUGGCACCGGGUUUGUAAAAAAGCAGCACACGGUGAGCAGGAGGCAUUCAUCUCGCUUCUUCUGUCAUCUGUUUGAACCGCCCGUAGAAAAGAGUCACAUUUAGCAUCUUAUUUUUAACACAAGUCUGGAUUCAAUAGAGCUCUUGAAGCCCGUCUUAGAAUAGUUUUUUCUUAUUCAUCUAAAUUAAAUCUGUGUGUGUGUGUGUGUGUGUGUGUGUGUGUGUGUGUGUGUGUGUGUGUGUGGAGGAGAGGGAGAGGGAGAGGGAGAGAGAGACACGGCAUGGGGGCAAUGUGUAGGAGCUGUCCUUACCCUGGUACUGACAACUGGCCAAUAACGUUCAUCUUCUGAUGUCUGCUGACAGCGUGUUAGCCAAUCACAUUGCAGCUGAUCUGAGCUGACUUCUCUCUGCUGCUCCUGUAGUGGAGGAUGUCAGACUGGGCCAGUGCACAUGGCUGGUAGAGGCAGCAGUGGCAGAAAAUGGGAUUUGAUAGGUUGUUUAUUGCAUUCGUAAUGUUCAGGGAGCAACUGACUAAGUGUGACAUGUUUUUAUGACUUAAGGGUGAGGGAGAGAAAGAAAAGAAACAACUAGGAAUAAACUAGUUGGAAGGCGAGCCAUGCAAAAUAGAAAAAGUGAAGCUGUUUUUUAUGGUUAGAUCGGUAAGACAUUUGAAAAACAACUGCAAUGCUUUUUCACUAUGCAGUGACUUUAAGCACAGACUUGUACACCACGCCUUUUUAUUUAUAUAUGUAUCCUGGGCAAAGACACCUUCAGCAAAGCUCUACUACGGUCUGAAAUUAACACUAACUAAGCCUGUGCCAAUGCCAAUGCCAAUUAAAUAAAUUUUUGGCUGACAACUGGUCAUUUAGCACCACAGGGUUGGGUGUUAAGAUUUCAUUGUUAAUGAUUCUGUUUAUAAAUUCCAGUCUGGGGCCAUAUUAUUCCAAUAAAAAAAAAAAUACACCUAUAUUUUCUGGAUGUCACAAAAUAUGUUGCCAUUUUGUAAUAAGUGGCAUUGGUAUCAAUCUAACUGUACCAGUUCCCCGUCCUUAAUGUGGGCCAAAGGUCAGGAGGUCCAACCUACCGUUGCGCUGCACAGCCCAACCAGUGAUGUCACACCAGGUGUUUACCGCUGAUGGAAGACGCCUGCAGUGACAUUACUGAUUGAGGCGAGACCUGAAUUGCAACAUUCUCUUUAAGUCUGAAGCAAUAAAUCAGUGUUCACUCUUGAAAGUGAACAAUUUCUUGCGUUUUUCCCCCUGGGCGCAUUCCCAGAAACCUGACUUUAAAAAAAAAAAAAAGAAGAGAUGAACCAGAUAUAAAAAUUACUGUCGGCUUCAUCUGUUAAAACCCAUGCAUGGUAUGCAUCUGUCACUAUGGAGGGAGAGUUAACCACCAUAGAUGGAGGAUGCGUGUUGAUAAAAGACGACCAAGAAAACUAUUCAAACCUACAGGGAUGGAUGGAGACUGGUACACUGAUCUGAUGUGCUCUCUCGAGACUGGCAGCAGACAGCUCAGUAUUGUGAAACAAGGACAAUUAAACAACUAGUUGAAAGAAGACUAGGAAGAGGAAGCAGAGGACACGGACCUAGAUGCUGCUGUUUUUCAACAACAUGAGCAUUAUCCUCUUUCUCUCGUAUAAUGAUCCAUAAAAAAGUACCAUGAACCCAUGAGAUUGUGUAGGAACAGGAAAAUAUAUUGGCUAUGCCGUUUAGAGACAUGCAUGUAGAGCAUACCAUUACAUUUCCACAGCCCAAACUAGGCUCCUGAAAUUUUGGACACCCAACUCAAAGUAAUCAAUCUUUGUAAUAAAAUAAACAUCAGAAGAAAUGACCCAGUAGUUUUUGCAUACAAAAUAAGAAAAGUGGGAAAAAAAAUAUUUCCUCUACAUCAAGUAUUGCUGUCGUCAAUGCUCUCCUGUUAUUUCAGGGGUGUCAGCAGCAUCACACAGCGCCUGGGAAUCUGAGAAUCAAAGUGCAAAGUGAAGUCGGGUGCAUUUCUGAACCUGGCUUGUGAGCUGUUAGCGUGCUCUGUUCAAAAUGUAUCCUUCGACUGUAGGACUGAUCAAGAAAAGACUAGCCCUGCUACAGAUAAAAUAAGGUGGGGUCAAAGACUAAAAUAGCUUGCUUUGCUACUUAGUAUUACAAUUUUAGCAUUAUAUAACAGUGAACGUUUUGCUUUACAUAUGACAGAAACUGUAGUUCUGCAAUUCUACAGAAUUAAACUAAUCUUACUGAUAGGUUUUGGUCUUGUUUACUGUCACCACCCCACUUUUCUUUUUGUCAGUCAAGUAUAUUUUUACAUUUUUCUUAUUAUUUGCAUUUUGUCUUAUUUACCAAGUUUAAUAUGUUGAAUUCACUUAAAUAGGGCUUCACAUUCACUUUUUUUUUUUACAAAAAAUGAUCCAAAAUCCACUGAUUGAGUUUAGCUUACACCCAUUUUCCACUGUAAAAUGUCCACUGUAUUGCAUGCAUUUACAUCUGUAACUCUUAUUGACAUUGUCCUUUAUUAGUAUGUUAUGGAUUUCCAAAGUGGGUGAUCAGAUUUUCCAUAAAAUACUAUAAUUUGACACAUGUGAUUUUUUUUUUUGUAGCUACAGAUUGUUUAAUUAAACAUCUAACAUGUUAA